rnacentral:rRNA from 1 species
GAUGAACGCUGGCGGCGUGCCUAAUACAUGCAAGUCGAGCGGAAGGACAGGAAGCUUGCGUCUUUGAGGUUAGCGGCGGACGGGUGAGUAACACGUGGAUAACCUACCUAUAAGACGGGGAGAACUUCGGGAAGCCGGAUCCAAUAACGGAUGAUAUUUUGAACCGCAUGGUGCAAAAGUGAAAGACGGUCUUGCUGUCACUUAUAGAUGGUUCCGCGCUGCAUUAGCUAGUGGGUAAGGUAACGGCUUACCAAGGCAACGAUGCGUAGCCGAGCUGAGAGGAUGAUCGGCCACACUGGAACUGAGACACGGUCCAGACUCCUACGGGAGGCAGCAGUGGGGAAUAUUCCGCAAUGGGCGCAAGCCUGACCCAGCCACGCCGCGUGAGUGAUGAAGGCCUUCGGAUCGUAAAGCCCUGUUAUUAGGGAAGAACAGCUGUGGAAGUAAAUGUGCACGUCUUGACGGUACCUAAUGAAAAAGCACCGGCUAACUACGUG